GACGAACGCUGGCGGCGUGCUUAACACGUGCAAGUCGAACGGAAAGGCCCUGCUUUUGUGGGGUGCUCGAGUGGCGAACGGGUGAGUAACACGUGAGUAACCUGCCCUUGACUUUGGGAUAACUUCAGGAAACUGGGGCUAAUAUCGGAUAGGAGCUACUGCUGCAUGGUGGGGGUUGGAAAGUUUCGGCGGUUGGGGAUCGACUCGCGGCUUAUGAGCUUGUUGGUGGGGUAGUGGCCUCCCAGGGCUUUGACGGGUAGCCGGCCUGGGAGGGUGACCGGGCACAUUGGGACUGAGAUACGGCCCAGACGCCUACGGGAGGCAGCAGGGGGGAAUAUGGCACAAUGGGCGGAAGCCUGAUGCAGCAACGCCGCGUGCGGGAUGACGGCCUUCGGGUUGUAAACCGCUUUCGCCUGUGACGAAGCGUGAGUGACGGUAAUGGGUAAAGAAGCACCGGCUAACUACGUG
rnacentral:rRNA from 1 species